GACGAACGCUGGCGGCGUGCUUAACACAUGCAAGUCGAGCGGUAAGGCCUUUCGGGGUACACGAGCGGCGAACGGGUGAGUAACACGUGGGUGACCUGCCUUUAGCUUCGGGAUAAGCCUGGGAAACCGGGUCUAAUACCGGAUAUGACUCCAUGACGCAUGUUGUGGGGUGGAAAGCCUUGUGCGGCUGAGGAUGGGCCCGCGGCCUAUCAGCUUGUUGGUGGGGUGAUGGCCACCAAGGCGACGACGGGUAGCCGGCCUGAGAGGGCGACCGGCCACACUGGGACUGGGACACGGCCCAGACUCCUACGGGAGGCAGCAGUGGGGAAUCUUGCGCAAUGGGCGAAAGCCUGACGCAGCGACGCCGCGUGA
rnacentral:rRNA from 1 species